rfam:Clostridium ventriculi strain 2789STDY5834858 genome assembly, contig: SCcontig000002
CUGUUUCAACUAAAUCUGGACUUAUGUAAUGAACGUGAGUAUCAAGACCUCCAGCUGUUACUAUUAAUCCUUCAGCUGCAAAAGCUUCUGUACUAACUCCUACUAUAAAGUCAACAUCAUCCAUACCAUCUGGAUUUCCGCCUUUUCCUAUAUAAGCUAUUUUUCCAUCUUUUAUACCAAUGUCAGCUUUAUAUAUUCCUGUGUAGUCAACAAUUGUUGCACCAGUUAAUAUAAGGUCUACAACUUUUGGAUUAUUUCUAGUUUCAAUAGAGUUUUGACCCAUACCAUCUCUUAA